rnacentral:rRNA from 1 species
UCCGUAGGCGGGCAAUUAAGUCAGAGGUGAAAUCCCACAGCUCAACUGUGGAACUGCCUUUGAUACUGGUUGUCUUGAGUUACAGUGAAGUAGAUAGAAUAUGUAGUGUAGCGGUGAAAUGCAUAGAUAUUACAUAGAAUACCGAUUGCUAAGGCAGUCUACUAACUGUAUACUGACGCUAAUGGACGAAAGCGUGGGGAGCGAACAGGAUUAGAUACCCUGGUAGUC